rnacentral:lncRNA from 1 species
UGAGCCACAGCUAUUGGGAGCAGUUUAUUAUCUGAGAAUCUCAGCUUUCAUUUAAAAAAAUAUAUCUUUCUAGUGUUUAUGGUUGCACAGAAAACCUUGAGAACCCGGACUCUAAAUGUUCCAACACCAGAAGGCAAAUUUUGUAUUUUUAUAAUGUCAGAAUUUUAACCCAAUCUCACAAUUUUGGGGGGCCUGCUCUGUGAUUUUUGAAUGCAUGGGGUUACAAGCUGCAUCGCACCUUUUGCUAAAGCUCUCUAUUCCCCAUUUAACCUUAUCCCAGUCCUGUCCUUAUUCUUGUCCUUCUCUGGCCUUCUCAUGGGCUUUCUCUCUCUCUCUCCUUUCACAGGGUUUGAUCCUGCAGCACUCUACUCCAGCAAAACUCCCAGUGAGCUCAGCUCUUUCGAUCUGGAACACUUCUGCUUCUAGAUGAGCCAGCAGAACUCGAGUCGUUGGAGGAUCACAGCAGCACUGUUUUUACUGUGGGAUUCAGUUCUAUGGAAUUGUCACUGGUACACAAGGAAUUGCAUCUCAAGCACUUGAAAGUGAAAGCAACCAGCUGUGAAACCGCAAGCAUAAGUCUUGAAGUCACAAUGACCCCUUCUGGGACAGCUCUGAAUCCAAAGAAUUCCUGCAGGAACGGGUUCACUGACGGUUCACAGUAUAGCUGCCAAGACGAGAUUCAUCACAUCUUUUACAAGAAACUCAGGGUAUGUCUACAAUGGAGCUGGGCGCUUAAUUUCCAGCUUAGAUUUCACUACCACGCGCACUAGCUUAAACUGCACUAGCGCGCUAAAAAUAGCUGCUUAGCUGUGGCAUGGGCGGCCAGCUACCCAAGUGCUUAUCUAGAGCCUCAGAUGGGAUUGUGCUUUAGUGGCUAGCCUGUCCUGCCACCUGUGUUGCCAUGGCUAUCCUGCUAUUUUUAGCACGCUAGCUCAAGCAAAGCUAGCAUGCAUACAUCUACUCGAGCUGAAAAUUACUCCUCCUGCUGUACGUAGAUAUACCCCCAAACCCCCAUGUGCCUAAAAGUCACUUUUCAAAAUGGAACCUAGGCUCCUACGUCACUUAGAUGUAUUUCAAAAUUUUACCCCAUGUUUUUCUACACGUUUGCAUGGCAUUUAGCACAAUGGUAGUGAAAAAGAACUUAAAUAUACACACUAUAGGAUGAAUCUGUUGUACACCCAGAACUAAAUUUCUCCUUUUCACAACUACCUGUACGAUAUAUACUUAGAGCUAAUUAGCAAUAUUUUGCUCAACCCACAUUUUCUGAAAUGCAAGAUGCACUGGAAUUGCAUUUUCCUGUGGCUGUUUUGGUGAGUUGGGUGUUUAAGCAAAUAAUGAGAUAUCUGAUCACACACUAUGUGCGUGUCUGAACAACAGUAUGAGGACAUAGACAUGUUGGUAUGUGCACUGAGUUCUCUGUUGCUGACCAAGCUGUAAGGGAUUU